CAGCUACAUCGCCUCGGACAACAAUAACAGGUUUCAAAAGUACCACAGAAGAGCCUGAUUCAAACAUUGUAUGGACAGGAAUCGUGGUGCCAAUUUUAACUACAGCUGUCAUGACUUACACACUCUCCAAACUGCUCCUACGGAAGGGGAUUGUCUGCCGGAAACCACCCGGGUCAUCGGCUGCUGCUCAGUUGACCUGUACCAGAGUUGAAAAAGAUGCCUCUGCUGGAUUGAACAAUCAACCCCUGAUGAGCACAGUUUGACAGCCUGAACACGUAAG